AUGGCUACAACGAAAGCACAACUUAACUCGGGACACGCACACGAUGAGACUCACUCGAGAGGAAGUACGAUCGAUGCAUUCUUCGCCGGGACGAUGAUCCUUUUAACCGGCGCUACGGGCUUCUUGGGGAAAGCCCUUUUGGAAAAGCUGCUGCGCUCGUGUCCUGUGGCCGCAAUUUUCGUUUUGAUCCGUCCGAAAAAACAGAAAUCCAUCGAGCAACGUUUCGAGGAACUACUGAAUAGUCCCGUUUAUCAGUGCUUGCAACAAUCUGCACAUUUCGGGUCGAUUCCUGAAGCGACGCCCACUACUUCCCCCACUACCGCUCGCCGCUCGAAGGUUGAACUCGCAAAUACACAGGAGGUGCUCUGCCGAGUGGUAGUGGGGGGAGCAGUGGGCGUCACUUCAGGAAUCGACCCUAAAUAUGCAGAUCGUUGCAAGCAUUGUCGUAGAAAUGAAUUUGAAUACCUUGUAAAAAAAUAUUCUACUCCAUCAAAACCCGUGAUGUGGUAUCCAGGUUUCACAUUGAGAACAAACAAAUUUAUUCACGCCAUUAUUAGGGCAAUAUUACAUUUUCUGCCUGCCUUCAUCCUAGAUUUGAUAUCAAGAGCCCGAGGCCACAAACCCAUAAUGAUGAAGUUAACCAAACGGAUAGACCGCCCAAACUGGAGAAUUCUUUUCAACAAAUGAAUGGAAAUUGAAUAUCAGCAACAUGAUGAUAUUAAUGAAAUUUGUAAGCAAGAGGAAAUUGGUAGAAACUUUUUGAAGUUAACAUACAAAAUAUGAAUUGGGAUAUGUAUUUACAACGGUACAUAUUAGGAAUCCGUAAAUAUAUCUUGAAAGAAAAUCUGGACACUUUACCUUAUGCUCAAAGUCGAUUAAAAAGGUAAGUAUUCUAAUUUUGUAAAAUAAGAAAAUUUUCACGAAGGUUAUAAUUUUUCUCAACACUUUUCAUAUAAUCUUUUAGACCUUUUAUGUGUAUUUUAGAAUUUCUAUAAUUUUAAAAUUUCUCAAAUUUCUUAUACAGAUCUUUGAAUAUUUUGCAAUUAACAUAUAUG